rnacentral:rRNA from 1 species
CAAUAGCGUAUAUUUAAGUUGUUGCAGUUAAAAAGCUCGUAGUUGGAUUUCGGGUUGGCUUCAGCGGUCUCGCUUUGCGUUUGUACUGCCGCAGCCUUCCUUCUUGCUGGGGACGGUCCUCCGGGCCUCAUUGCUUGGGGUCUGGAAUCAGCGACGUUACUUUGAGUAAAUUAGAGUGUUCAAAGCAAGCCUACGCUCUGAAUAUAAUAGCAUGGGAUAACACGACAGGACUCUGGCCUAUCGUGUUGGUCUGUAGGACCAGAGUAAUGAUUAAGAGGGACAGUCGGGGGCAUUCGUAUUCCGUUGUCAGAGGUGAAAUUCUUGGAUUUACGGAAGACGAACAUCUGCGAAAGCAUUUGCCAAGGAUGUUUUCAUUGA